rnacentral:rRNA from 1 species
AUGGCCGCCGCCGCCUCCGCCUCCGCCUCCGCCUCGUCUUCUUCCUCCACCUCCACCUCGGCCGGGUCCUCCGCGUCCACCUCCACGCCCCGGCCCGCCCCGCGCCAGGCCGCCGCGGCGCCGUCGUCGUCCCCGGUCUUCCUCAACGUGUACGACGUGACCCCGGCCAACGGGUACGCGCGGUGGCUGGGGCUCGGCGUGUACCACUCGGGCGUGCAGGUCCACGGGGUGGAGUACGCGUACGGCGCGCACGAGGGCGCCGGGAGCGGCAUCUUCGAGGUGCCCCCGCGGCGGUGCCCCGGCUACGCGUUCCGGGAGGCGGUGCUGGUGGGCACCACGGCGCUGACCCGCGCCGAGGUGCGCGCCCUCAUGGCCGACCUCGCCGCCGACUUCCCGGGCGACGCCUACAACCUCGUCUCCCGCAACUGCAACCACUUCUGCGACGCCGCGUGCCGCCGCCUCGUCGCCCGCGCCCGCAUCCCGCGCUGGGUCAACCGCCUCGCCAAGAUCGGGGUCGUCUUCACCUGCGUCAUCCCCAGCAGCAGCAGGCACCAGGUGCGCCGCAAGGGGGAGCCGCAGCUGCCCGCCCCCGUCAAGAGCCGCUCCGCGCGCCAGCCCGCCGCCCCGCCGCGGCCCAGGACCUUCUUCCGCUCCCUCUCCGUCGGCGGCGGCAAGAACGUCACGCCCCGCCCGCUCCAGACCCCGCCGGUGGGGCCCGCCCUGACGUUGACGACGCCGGCACCGACGCCGUUGGCCUCCAUGUAA